rnacentral:tRNA from 3 species
GGGUGUCUGGUCUAGUGGUAUGAUCCCCGCUUAGAGCAUGAACGAGAGAUCGCGAGUUGGAUUCUCGCAGCGCUCU